GACUGGAUAAGCUAAAUCAAGCCGUUGGGCUCAUACCCCGAAAAUGAGACUAUUCUCUCCACUCA
rnacentral:tRNA from 1 species